AACGGCGAGUGAAGCGGCAACAGCUCAAAUUUGAAAUCUGGCUCUUUCAGGGUCCGAGUUGUAAUUUGCAGAGGAUGCUUCGGCUUCGACCUUGGUCUAAGUUCCUUGGAACAGGACGUCACAGAGGGUGAGAAUCCCGUACGUGGCCGUGGUCUUCGCCAUGUGAAGCUCCUUCGACGAGUCGAGUUGUUUGGGAAUGCAGCUCUAAAUGGGAGGUAAAUUUCUUCUAAAGCUAAAUAUUGGCCAGAGACCGAUAGCGCACAAGUAGAGUGAUCGAAAGAUGAAAAGCACUUUGGAAAGAGAGUUAAAAAGUACGUGAAAUUGUUGAAAGGGAAGCGCUUGCACCCAGACUUGCCCGCGGUUGCUCAGCCGGUCUUUUGGCCGGUGCACUCUUCCGCGGUCAGGCCAGCAUCAGUUCGGGCGGUCGGAUAAAGGCCUUGGGAAUGUAGCUCCCUUCGGGGAGUGUUAUAGCCCUCGGUGUAAUGCGGCCCGCCUGGACUGAGGUCCGCGCUUCGGCUAGGAUGCUGGCGUAAUGGUUGUAAGCGGCCCGUCUUGAAACACGGACCAAGGAGUCUAACAUCUAUGCGAGUGUUUGGGUGUCAAACCCGUGCGCGAAAUGAAAGUGAACGGAGGUGGGAACCUUAGGGUGCACCAUCGACCGAUCCUGAUGUCUUCGGAUGGAUUUGAGUAAGAGCAUAGCUGUUGGGACCCGAAAGAUGGUGAACUAUGCCUGAAUAGGGUGAAGCCAGAGGAAACUCUGGUGGUGGCUCGCAGCGGUUCUGACGUGCAAAUCGAUCGUCAAAUUUGGGUAUAGGGGCGAAAGACUAAUCGA
rnacentral:rRNA from 1 species